GCUCACCGGUCACCUGGCCAAGUCCUUAGCCGUGUCCAGAAAUGAGCUGGAGCCAAGGACUCUUGUCCUGUUCUCGGCAACGGCCCGGGUACAGUUUCUCCUGCCCAUGACACUCGGUCCACUCCAGACUGACCCUCCCUUUGACAAGUGUGUGUGAAGAGCUGGCACCGGCUGAUCAGAGGACUUCUCAUAUGGUCCCCUGCAGACUUCCUCUGAGCAGGCUUCCCUCUGUCAGAACCCUGCAGCCUCCUUAGUACUCUCUGUCAGCUUUUAACCCUGGUGCUCGUAAAUCUUGCAGAGGGUUAACGUGUGAUCGGAGUUAACUUUAGUAAUUAAGAUUGGAAUAAAAGAAUUGGCACUUGCCGGUGGCCAGCUAUCAAGGGAAAUUGGGACCACAUUGGUAAAUUACAGACAAGGAAACUGAUAGAGCUGGUGAAUUUAUUGGUUAGCCGAUAAAUUCCAACAUGGUGGAAAGACACUGAUGUGACCAUCUCUGUUUCUGACAUAACCCACUCAGGGCGUACAGCUUACAGGAGUCACUCCUCAGCCAUGGGAGAUCCAGUCUGGGACACUCUGCCAUUGUUAGAGGCCCAGUUCUGACACAUGCAUGCUUAUAGUAACACUCAGUUUAUAAGCUAGGCAUGGUAGGAGACUAACAACAUUAACUACUAUAAAAAAAAAAAAAAAGGGCAGCCAUCGCAGUAUACCGCCAUGAAAGCCGUGUGAGUGGGGUUUCUCCCCCUCUAGCUCUUGGUAUACUUCAUUCUGUGUGUGACCUGCUUUGUGGUGACAUGAGAAGAUGCAAUCCCUGAAUGACAAGAAGAAACGCGGACAGUGACAGAGUUGUUGAGACACACUGCUGUGCUACUCUGGAAAGGUUAUUGGAACAAAAGCACGGGAUACCACGGCAAACCUAUCUAGUCACGGAUGAGCUGCUGAAUAGCUGAUGAGAGGGUGAGCUAUACAGCGUGGAUACUGGAGCGAGGCCCAGCUGCUCCUCCAGGUGGAACAGAGCAGGCUGACAGAACAGCACACAGCCUCACAGUGUGAAACACAGGGAUUGUUUAUUUCUCCAAGUUUCAUCAGUGUUUUUAGACCACAAUUGACCUGUCAGUGACACCCCAGAUAGACAGGGGGGCAAAGGCAAUUCCUGUUAAAAAAUUAAAUGCAUUGGUUGGAUGCCUUCCUUUCUACAGGGAGUUUAUCAAUAAAUUGGUGCAUAUUUAAAAGGCAUACUUGGUUAGUCAGCAUCGUUCUCUUCCUCUCUCCCUCCUUUCCUCUCCCCUCCCCCUUCCCCCUUCCUCUCUCUCUCUCUCUCUCUCUCUCUCUCUCUCUCUCUCUCUCUCUCUCUCCUUUUCUUCCUCUCCUCUCUCUUUUCUCCCCUGUGCAUGGCUUUGGAAAACAGACUUGGCUCAGACUCAUCACCUACCAAGUCCUGGGGUCCCCAGGCGUGUGCCCACAUGCCCGGCUUCAAAGUUUGGUGGUUGAGGGAGAUGGGAGGGGAGAGAAUGGAAAGAGACUCCUGUGUUAAUCCAUGGGCAGACAAGGUGGGGUGAGCACAGUCUGCUGUACCAUUAACUCCUUGAACAUAAGGCAGUUAUUUCCUUAUAAAUUCCAACGUUUCUAGCUUAUGAAGAUGGGAAAUUUUGUCUUUAAAAGAAAAGCACGUGGGUCAGAUGCUGUAGAAGCACUCUGCGCUAUAAAGAACAGAAAGGUGAUCUGAGAAGCUGGCACAGUGGGUACCUCACGACAUUCGCCCAACCGUUUGCUGAAGCUGAACCCUGCCUUCUGGUAACAUGGAAAGGUUUUGGCUCAGUGCGCAUGUGCAGCGCUGGAAUUUUGAGACUCUACUCCCUUGACCUCCUCAGGACUGUCCCCUCCCCACCGCCAGGAGAAUCAUGAGCGGUAAUUUUCAGGAUCCACUUAGGUACCUCCUCCCAGAUUUGGCUGAGGAGGCUUCCUGGAUGCUCAGCUACAGACAGAAUUGGAAGCUAAAUUCGUCUGGCGGUAAAGCGCCCUGUGGACAGCAGGGGGCAGUGUUCAUCUUUAAAUAACGUGAGCCCGGCAGGCAGGCAAAGCUUUCCCAGAGCGGCCAAACACCCUUGGUGUCCAAGGAGCCAGCGAGCGAGGCCCCCAGAGCAAACACCGGAGUCUUUCAAACACAGAUUUCCUGAAUACAAAUCUUACGGCCUGGACAUAUUCCCAGUGGCUUCCCCCACACACACUGUGCUUCGUGUGAACCGCAGUUUCUUGCGGCGAGGGAAACAUUGUUAUGAUGCUCUUACAAAAUUUAACUGAAAUCUGGACAUGACUGGCUGACAAAGGCCGCGCCAUCCUUCAUGUUACUGGAAACUGAGUUCUCUUGGAGUAGAGAAGUGGACCUUAAGCAGGAGGGGAGGGCAGAGGAGAGGGAAGGUCACUUGGACUUGACUUCAGCCUCACACGGGAGCAGCUGUGCCUGGAGUGUGUCUGACUUCCCGCACAGCGAAGGGAUUUUAAAGCCCUGAGAUUCUGGACUUCGGCAAGCACACAAUCGCUCAUCUGACCUUGAGCUGUGUUCCACAAUCCCCUGCUCAGCAUAAAGGCAUAUGUGCAUGUUUAAUGAGUAAGAUCCGUAAGGUUGGGAAAAGAAAAAGCAACACCCUAGAUUUAUAUAUUCCAUUAAACAUGAUCUUCAUGGGCUAAUUAGUUAGUAAUUUCACCCUUGCUUGUAAUAUAAACCAUUUUAUGCUCAAUAAUAAUAAAAUCUAUGUAAACCA